GCCCUUGUAGCUCAGUGGAAGAGCGCCGAUCUUGUAAAUCGGAUGUCCGGGGUUCGAUUCCUCGUUGGGGCUC
rnacentral:tRNA from 1 species